UACGGAGGGGGCUAGCGUUGUUCGGAAUUACUGGGCGUAAAGCGCACGUAGGCGGCUUUGUAAGUUAGAGGUGAAAGCCCGGGGCUCAACUCCGGAAUUGCCUUUAAGACUGCAUCGCUAGAAUUGUGGAGAGGUAAGUGGAAUUCCGAGUGUAGAGGUGAAAUUCGUAGAUAUUCGGAAGAACACCAGUGGCGAAGGCGACUCACUGGCCCGUUACUGACGCUGAGGCGCGAAAGCGUGGGGAGCAAACAGG
rnacentral:rRNA from 1 species